rnacentral:tRNA from 1 species
AUGUUUGUAGCUCAAUAUGGAUAGAGUAUUAAAUUGCGGAUUUAAUGGUUGAAAGUUCAAAUCUUUCCAAGCAUA